UACGAAGGGGGCUAGCGUUGCUCGGAAUGACUGGGCGUAAAGGGCGCGUAGGCGGCGAUAUCAGUCAGAUGUGAAAUUCCUGGGCUUAACCUGGGGGCUGCAUUUGAGACGGUAUGGCUAGAGUGUGAAAGAGGGUCGUGGAAUUCCCAGUGUAGAGGUGAAAUUCGUAGAUAUUGGGAAGAACACCGGUGGCGAAGGCGGCGACCUGGUUCAUAACUGACGCUGAGGCGCGAAAGCGUGGGGAGCAAACAGG
rnacentral:rRNA from 1 species